AGUUAAAUCAACCUUUGAUACUUGUGUUGUCGAAGAAUAUCUCUUUUGAAUAGUUCUAUAAACUCUGAGAAAAGAAAUAAAUCAACGUUUUGGUACAUUAACUUACUGAAGAAAUGGUGCGCGUGCUGCAAGUUAACGGUCGUCUUCGAUUAAUCGAAGUAAAAGUGCCUGAUGUGCCAUCCAUGGCGACGUGUGCGAGCCUCCAGCCGACGAAUCAAGUGACCGAUGAACAACUUUCGAUUGCGUUUGAUUGUCUCUCAAGUUGGCAAACAUUUUCUUUUCUUUGGGUUAAGGAUAACAAGGAUAUUAAUUUUUUCUCGUUUGUCUGGCUACUUGUAGUGCUAUUGCACAAGUUGACAUUAUUAGAAGCGAAGAAUUCUCGCUGCUCAUUUAUUUAUCACGAGUAGUAGAUGGAAUGAAAUGAAAUAAAUCUAUUGGGGAUUAUUUCAUUAUUUCACCCCGAGUUAAUUAAAAUAAAUCAUCCGCAUCGUCUCGAUAA